rnacentral:rRNA from 1 species
AUACGGAGGGGGCUAGCGUUGUUCGGAAUUACUGGGCGUAAAGCGCGCGUAGGCGGAUUGACAAGUUGGAGGUGAAAUCCCGGGGCUCAACCCCGGAACUGCCUUCAAAACUGUCAGUCUUGAGUUCGGAAGAGGUGAGUGGAAUUCCUAGUGUAGAGGUGAAAUUCGUAGGUAUUAGGAAGAACACCAGUGGCGAAGGCGACUCACUGGUCCGAUACUGACGCCGAGGUGCGAAAGCGUGGGGAGCAAACAGGAUUAGAUACCCUAGUAGUCC